rnacentral:ncRNA from 1 species
CUGCUGCUGCAGCUGCUGCCGCAGCUGCUGUUGCUGCUGCUGCUGCUGCAGCUGCUGCCGCAGCUGCUGUUGCUGCUGCUGCUGCAGCUGCUGCUGCAGCUGCUGUUGCUGCUGCUGCAGCUGCUGUUGCUGCUGCUGCAGCUGCUGCCGCAGCUGCUGUUGCUGCUGCUGCUGCUGCUGUUGCUGCUGCUGCAGCUGCUGCCGCAGCUGCUGUUGCUGCUGCUGCUGCAGCUAGAAGGGCCCUGAAGUUGCAAGCAGCAGCAGCUAAAGAAA